AACGAACGCUGGCGGCAGGCUUAACACAUGCAUGUCGAACGCCCCGCAAGGGGAGUGGCAGACGGGUGAGUAACGCGUGGGACCUACCUAGUGGUACGGAAUAACUCAGGGAAACUUGGGCUAAUACCGUAUGUGCCCGAAAGGGGAAAGAUUUAUCGCCAUUAGAUGGGCCCGCGUCGGAUUAGCUAGUUGGUGGGGUAAUGGCCUACCAAGGCGACGAUCCGUAGCUGGUCUGAGAGGAUGAUCAGCCACACUGGGACUGAGACACGGCCCAGACUCCUACGGGAGGCAGCAGUGGGGAAUAUUGGACAAUGGGCGCAAGCCUGAUCCAGCCAUGCCGCGUGAGUGAUGAAGGCCCUAGGGUUGUAAAGCUCUUUCGGCGGGGACGAUAAUGACGGUACCCGCAGAAGAAGCCCCGGCUAACUUCGUGCCAGCCGCCGCCGUAAGAC
rnacentral:rRNA from 1 species